UUGAAAGGGAAACGAUUGAAGUCAGUCAUACCAACGGGAAAUCAACCUUUUGAGCUUGGUCUCGUGGGUUUUGAAGAGUUUCAAAGCCUUCGGAUUCGCGUGAUUGGGAUCUCUCGGUGUACUUUUUCGUACGGUUAGUCAACAUCGGUUUUGAAUGUCAUAAAAUGACUGGAGGAAUGUAGCUUCGAUCUCGUAUUGAAGUGUUAUAGCCUUUGGUAGAUGUGAUGUUUGAGACCGAGGAUUGCAACGGAUACCCUUCAGGGCUAUUCGUCUGAUCUCUGAUACGUUGCCUUGAUGUUGAAAGCUUGCUUAUGAUGUUAGGGUAUUACGGUCAAAAGGUUAGAACGAAUUACAUUCGUUAAGGAUGUUGACGUA
rnacentral:rRNA from 1 species